rnacentral:rRNA from 1 species
GACGAACCGUGCGAACGUUGUUCGGAAUCACUGGGCUUAAAGGGCGCGUAGGCGGGCUUGCAAGUCUGCGGUGAAAGCCUCCAGCUCAACUGGAGAAGUGCCGUGGAUACUGCGGGCCUCGAGGAGGGUAGGGGCAUCUGGAACGUUGGGUGGAGCGGUGAAAUGCGUUGAUAUCCAACGGAACUCCGGUGGCGAAGGCGAGGUGCUGGACCCUUUCUGACGCUGAGGCGCGAAAGCAUGGGGAGCGAACAGG